UGAGUUAUAGCGUCUCACU
rnacentral:siRNA from 1 species